rnacentral:rRNA from 1 species
AGUGAACGCUGGCGGCGUGCUUAACACAUGCAAGUCGAACGAGAACGGGUUAUAGCUUGCUAUAAUUGUCAGCUAAGUGGCGCACGGGUGAGUAAUGUAUAGGUAAUAUGCCUCUUACUAAGGGAUAACAAUUGGAAACGAUUGCUAAUACCUUAUACUCCUUAUUAACUAAAGUUAGUAAGGGAAAGAUUUAUUGGUAAGAGAUUAGCCUGUAUUGUAUCAGUUAGUUGGUGGGGUAAUGGCCUACCAAGACUAUGACGCAUAACUGGUUUGAGAGGAUGAUCAGUCACACUGGAACUGAGACACGGUCCAGACUCCUACGGGAGGCAGCAGUGGGGAAUAUUGCACAAUGGACGAAAGUCUGAUGCAGCAACGCCGCGUGGAGGAUGACACAUUUCGGUGCGUAAACUCCUUUUAUAUAAGAAGAUAAUGACGGUAUUAUAUGAAUAAGCACCGGCUAACUCCGUGCCAGCAGCCGCGGUAA